rnacentral:lncRNA from 1 species
AUAGAUAUAUGUUUAUGUUUUACGUUUAUUUUCAAUGAGCGGAGAAAAGUAGGUUGAAAUGAGGAACGCUUUUCGAACCCGAAUAUCCCGACCCGCCGCUUUGUUAGCUUACUAUUAUUGUCAUUGUCAUCUCAAAAAGAUUAUUUUCUUUUUCAUUUUCAAUUUUCUUUUCGAUGUUGAUUGUUUGAAUAAUGAUACAGUUUUUUUCUUCUUAGUAAAACUGAAGCACUUUAAUGUAAAAAUUAC